UACGGGGGGGGCAAGCGUUGUUCGGAAUUACUGGGCGUAAAGGGCUCGUAGGCGGCCAACUAAGUCGGAUGUGAAAUCCCCAGGCUUAACCUGGGAACUGCAUCUGAUACUGGAUGGCUUGAAUCCGGGAGAGGGAUGCAGAAUUCCAGGUGUAGCGGUGAAAUGCGUAGAUAUCUGGAGGAACACCGGUGGCGAAGGCGGCGUUCUGGACUGCAACUGACACUGAGGAACGAAAGCCAGGGGAGCAAACGGG
rnacentral:rRNA from 1 species